GACGAACGCUGGCGGCGUGCUUAACACAUGCAAGUCGAACGGAAAGGCCCUGCUUUUGUGGGGUGCUCGAGUGGCGAACGGGUGAGUAACACGUGAGUAACCUGCCCUUGACUUUGGGAUAACUUCAGGAAACUGGGGCUAAUACCGGAUAGGAGCUCCUGCUGCAUGGUGGGGGUUGGAAAGUUUCGGCGGUUGGGGAUGGACUCGCGGCUUAUCAGCUUGUUGGUGGGGUAGUGGCUUACCAAGGCUUUGACGGGUAGCCGGCCUGAGAGGGUGACCGGCAACAUGGGGACUGGGAAACGGCCAAAACUCCUAGGGGAGGCAGAAGUGGGGAAUAUUGCACAAGGGGCGGAAGCCUGAUGCAGAAACGCCGGGUGCGGGAUGACGGCCUUCGGGUUGUAAACCGCUUUCGCCUGUGACGAAGCGUGAGUGACGGUAAUGGGUAAAGAAGCACCGGCUAACUACGU
rnacentral:rRNA from 1 species